rnacentral:rRNA from 1 species
GUCCUACGGGGGGCAGCAGUGGGGAAUAUUGCACAAUGGGGGAAACCCUGAUGCAGCAACGCCGCGUGAGUGAUGACGGCCUACGGGUUGUAAAGCUCUGUCUUCAGGGACGAUAAUGACGGUACCUGAGGAGGAAGCCACGGCUAACUACGUGCCAGCAGCCGCGGUAAUACGUAGGUGGCGAGCGUUGUCCGGAUUUACUGGGCGUAAAGGGAGCGUAGGCGGAUUUUUAAGUGAGAUGUGAAAUACUCGGGCUCAGCUUGAGUGCUGCAUUUCAAACUGGAAGCCUAGAGGGCAGGAGAGGA